rnacentral:rRNA from 1 species
CCCAGACUCCUACGGGAGGCAGCAGUGAGGAAUAUUGGUCAAUGGACGCAAGUCUGAACCAGCCAUGCCGCGUGCAGGAUGACGGCUCUAUGAGUUGUAAACUGCGUUUGUACGAGGGAAAACCCCGAUACGUGAAUCGGGUUGAAAGGAUCGUACGAAUAAGGAUCGGCUAACUCCGUGCCAGCAGCCGCGGUAAUACGGAGGAACCGAGCGUUAUCCGGUUUUAUUGGGUUUAAAGGGCGCGCAGGCGGUUUUGUAAGUUAGGGGUGAAAUCUCGGGGCCCAACCCCGGAACUGCUUUUAAUACUGUUUGACUAGAGUAUAGUUGCGGUAGGCGGAAUGUAUGGUGUAGCGGUGAAAUGCUUAGAUAUCAGACAGAACACCGAUGGCGAAGGCGGCUUACUAGACUAUAUCUGACGUUGAGGCACGAAAGCGUGGGUAGCAAACAGGAUUAGAUACCCCUGUA